AUUUCGCUUGCAUAGUUAAAACACUUUAACAAUUUUAUUUUAUAAAAAUAUUCUGACUCGAUGUUUUGUGUGAUAACUUUUACCUCCGGCUUUGUCCGCGUCAAUUUAUUAUUACAAUUAGCAUUCACAAAAACAGCUAUGAAGUAGUAAUAAAAGUCUGUUAUCGAAGUGAGUUUUAUUACUUAAAAAAUAAAACUGCUGGUUAUUUGAAUAGGGGCGAUGUAGGCAAUGGGAGUCAGUUGGCAAUGGCGAUCACCUCAAAAUAACAAAAACUGAACGCGACCAAGCGAUGCCAAUAUACCUAUACGCUAGCAUUACGUCUUUCCGGUGCGACACCAGCGACUGAUUCAGUUCGCACGACACGCUUAAGAGUAACAGGUGUAUGAAGGUUUCGCGCCAUUUUCAUCUAAUUUUUCGAGUUGAUAAAUUUGAAGAUGACAAAAAUUCGUCUUAGACAGACCAAUAAAGCUAAUUGACCACCUAGAAAAGGCUGUAAAGCUCAUUAAUGAACGGUCUAAAGGAACCACUUGGACAAGGCUGUAGAGAAUAGGGUCUAUAAUAAGUUGGGAGAGGGGUAAGAAUAUCACUCUGCUCUGCGCCAUGAUGCUGCAGGUGGAUAUGGCCUGCCAAUGUUUAUCUACCCCCGAAAGAAGAUGAUCUCGACUCUUCAAAAGCCUAGAGCCUACUUUUACAAAGAAUAACGCUUACCCUAACCUUAUGAUUUUGCUACGUUAGUCAAAAAAGCAUUCUCUCAUGUAGUCUCCAUGAGCAAGGCCGAAGCAGGAAAAAAAGCAACGGGCAUAUUUCCUAUAAACCCCAAUGUUUUUACUGAUGAAGAUUUUAUAGCAGCUAAAAUCCUUUAAUUAGAGCCAAUCGUUGUUCAGGAUUCUACGGACUCUAUUUCAGAAUUUAUUUUACAAAUUUUUCCUAUUCCAAGUAAGUACAUCCACAUUCUGUCCCACUACUACUCCAUCGACUGCAUCGUCGUCUGAAUUUGAUGUUCCAUCAAAAUCUAAGAAUCUCCCAAGCAUUUAAAAUUUCAUUCAGAUGCCUAAGAAAGCAACUGUUUGUCAAGAUAAGACAAACAUCAUGCAGCGAUUUUAACAUCUACUCCAAUCAAAGAUGAUCUAGUUGAAAAAGAGAAUAAAAGGAAGGAAAAAUCUGUGAAAAACAAAGGAAAAGGAAUAGGAAAGAAGAGGAAGCCACAAAAGGUCAGUCGUGAAAAGGUUAAGAAGAAAAUUCUACAAGAAUCAAAUGAUAAUUCGGAGUCAGACGUGAAAACAGACGAGUUAUGCCAAGAUGACGAUAAUGACCAUGCUGAUGAUGCAAAUGUAACUUGUGUUGUAUGUGGUGAAUUCAGAAGAGACAAUGAAACAUGGUACCGGUGCACUUCUUGUGGGCUCUGGGCUCAUGCCGACUGUACUAGAUGGGAGUCUGCGCACAAUUUUGUUUGCGAUAUGUGUUGAUCACCAUUGCCCACAUGCUGAGCACCAUUGCCAACCGAUGCUGACAAUGGUGAUCGAAACAAUUUUUUUGUAAUUUGUUAUUGUACCAAAAUUAAUGCAUCAAAGUGAUAAAAGUUGAUCUCAUUUGAUAGAUAAGAAAGUGAAGUUUAUAAUAAGAAAAGAAUAAUAAAUAGUUCAUUAUUA